GUGAGGAAUAUUGGUCAAUGGACGAGAGUCUGAACCAGCCAAGUAGCGUGAAGGAUGACUGCCCUAUGGGUUGUAAACUUCUUUUAUAAGGGAAUAAAGUGCACCACGUGUGGUGUUUUGUAUGUACCUUAUGAAUAAGGAUCGGCUAACUCCGUGCCAGCAGCCGCGGUAAUACGGAGGAUCCGAGCGUUAUCCGGAUUUAUUGGGUUUAAAGGGAGCGUAGGCGGCAGGUUAAGUCAGUUGUGAAAGUUUGCGGCUCAACCGUAAAAUUGCAGUUGAUACUGGCCUGCUUGAGUGCGGCAGAGGCAGGCGGAAUUUGUGGUGUAGCGGUGAAAUGCUUAGAUAUCACGAAGAACUCCGAUUGCGAAGGCAGCUUGCUGGAGCGUAACUGACGCUGAUGCUCGAAAGUGCGGGUAUCAAACAGGAUUAGAAACCCUAGUAGUCC
rnacentral:rRNA from 1 species